rnacentral:rRNA from 1 species
GACGAACGCUGGCGGCGUGCUUAACACAUGCAAGUCGAACGGAAAGGCCCUGCUUUUGUGGGGUGCUCGAGUGGCGAACGGGUGAGUAACACGUGAGUAACCUGCCCUUGACUUUGGGAUAACUUCAGGAAACUGGGGCUAAUACCGGAUAGGAGCUCCUGCUGCAUGGUGGGGGUUGGAAAGUUUCGGCGGUUGGGGAUGGACUCGCGGCUUAUCAGCUUGUUGGUGGGGUAGUGGCUUACCAAGGCUUUGACGGGUAGCCGGCCUGAGAGGGUGACCGGCCACAUUGGGACUGAGAUACGGCCCAGACUCCUACGGGAGGCAGCAGUGGGGAAUAUUGCACAAUGGGCGGAAGCCUGAUGCAGCAACGCCGCGUGCGGGAUGACGGCCUUCGGGUUGUAAACCGCUUUCGCCUGUGACGAAGCGUGAGUGACGGUAAUGGGUAAAGAAGCACCGGCUAACUACGUGCCAGCAGCCGCGGUGAUACGUAGGGUGCGAGCGUUGUCCGGAUUUAUUGGGCGUAAAGGGCUCGUAGGUGGUUGAUCGCGUCGGAAGUGUAAUCUUGGGGCUUAACCCUGAGCGUGCUUUCGAUACGGGUUGACUUGAGGAAGGUAGGGGAGAAUGGAAUUCCUGGUGGAGCGGUGGAAUGCGCAGAUAUCAGGAGGAACACCAGUGGCGAAGGCGGUUCUCUGGGCCUUUCCUGACGCUGAGGAGCGAAAGCGUGGGGAGCGAACAGGCUUAGAUACCCUGGUAGUCCACGCUGUAAACGGUGGGUACUAGGUGUGGGGUCCAUUCCACGGGUUCCGUGCCGUAGCUAACGCUUUAAGUACCCCGCCUGGGGAGUACGGCCGCAAGGCUAAAACUCAAAGGAAUUGACGAGGCCCCGCACAAGCGGCGGAGCAUGCGGAUUAAUUCGAUGCAACGCGUAGAACCUUACCUGGGUUUGACAUGGAUCGGGAGCGCUCAGAGAUGGGUGUGCCUCUUUUGGGGUCGGUUCACAGGUGGUGCAUGGCUGUCGUCAGCUCGUGUCGUGAGAUGUUGGGUUAAGUCCCGCAACGAGCGCAACCCUUGUUCACUGUUGCCAGCACGUUAUGGUGGGGACUCAGUGGAGACCGCCGGGGUCAACUCGGAGGAAGGUGGGGAUGACGUCAAGUCAUCAUGCCCCUUAUGUCCAGGGCUUCACGCAUGCUACAAUGGCUGGUACAGAGAGUGGCGAGCCUGUGAGGGUGAGCGAAUCUCGGAAAGCCGGUCUCAGUUCGGAUUGGGGUCUGCAACUCGACCUCAUGAAGUCGGAGUCGCUAGUAAUCGCAGAUCAGCAACGCUGCGGUGAAUACGUUCCCGGG